UGGUGCCCAAUGUGGGGCUCGAGAAUGGGGGACUUCAUGAGGAACUCUGUUCAUAGGCCCAAAGUAGAAAAAAGGAAAAGAAAAUAGAGGACCUGAUGAUGUGGGAGCCUGCUACACUGUGCUGAACCUCGGUAAGUGAACAGCGAUUAUGGGACAAGAAAUGAGCCAGCAUGAGAUUUUUGUUGAAAGUUUAGGAAAGGCUUUAAAGGUGUGAGGAGUAAAGAUUAAAAUUAAUCAAUUGUGUCAAUAUUUUGAUUUUAUGAAAGAAGUUUGUCGUU
rfam:Cavia porcellus supercont2_33 genomic scaffold, whole genome shotgun sequence.